UACGUAGGGGGCAAGCGUUAUCCGGAUUUACUGGGUGUAAAGGGAGCGUAGACGGCUGUGCAAGUCAGAAGUGAAAGCCCGGGGCUCAACCGCGGGACUGCUUUUGAAACUGUGUAGCUGGAGUGCAGGAGAGGUAAGUGGAAUUCCUAGUGUAGCGGUGAAAUGCGUAGAUAUUAGGAGGAACACCGGUGGCGAAGGCGGCUUACUGGACUGUAACUGACGUUGAGGCACGAAAGUGUGGGGAGCAA
rnacentral:rRNA from 1 species